AGGUUCUCGUCAAGAUGGCGCUGUGAGCAGACGUUGAACUCGCCUCCUCCCACGAACACAACCAGGUUACAACAAUUUUGGGAAGAAUCACCCUGGAUUGAAAACUGAAAACUGGAUAAAAAGAACCCCCACGACAAGGGACAGUCCUGACAAAAGCAGAAGAGGCAGUAACUCCAGCCAGAGAGGAAAAAAGCCACCUUUGGGAGCAGUGGAGAUUCUCAGCUGGCCAGGGGGGAGCCAACUUAAGGUCUAAUUUAUCAUGCACUGCUCAUCUUGCUCUGUGAUAAAGAGUUGCUUGGCUCCCACCUCUAGUCGUGAUAUUAUGGUCAUGAAUUGCAAAUAAAGGUGAAGAUACCAAGACCCCAAGAAGGUGAAGAUCUUACCGAAGGAUUUAUGGGGGAUGAUGAGAAUUUAAGGUGCAUGACAAAACGCAAAAUAAAAAUAGAAACAAUGCAGAUUGUACAGCAAGAGCAGAAUCAGAAAAGGUUGAGAAAUGAUGGUAAAAACUGCAUUGCCAUAAAGAUAAAUACUGUGUCUGAAGAGGCCUACAACUUUGGCUAUGUGCUUACCAGAAGCCAAAUCACAAAGUGAAAUGUUGCAGUCGUCUAGAUUCUCUCCCUCUCCCCAUCCCCUUCCCCUCUGAUAACCACCAAUUUGUUCUCCUUGUCUAUGUAUUUGUUUAUCUCCCACAUAUGAGUAAAG
rnacentral:lncRNA from 1 species